CUGCCCGUGUGGGCCCACUGGGAACAUUCUGGCUCUGUCUAAAACACAGAUCAUGGCCGGGAUAUGUUCUCUGUGCUACUGCAAGAUAAAUGGUGACUCAGAAAAAACUGGGCAGAGAAAUCCACUAUCCAGUUCAGAAGAAAGAGAACAAAAACAGCCUGUUCAUUCAGAGUAAUGCACAAAAAAAAUAGAAAUAAGUAGAUGGAGAAAAUCGUGGUAUCUGCUGGGGAUUAACUGUUCAAAGAAGGAAAGUAGAUUACUGCAGCUCUUGAUAAGAUGGAGGAACAGAUGGAUGUGUAAUGCACACAAAACCUAAGUACAAGAUCUCAGCUCUCAAACAGCAGCCACAGUGAAAUGUACAAAAAUCAGGUGUAGCUACUCUACAGUUCUUGGCUGAAAAACAAUUGAUCCAUUGCUCUAAAAACAAACUUCUAAGAUGAGUAUUUAAGUUUUCAUCUACCAAAAACUGAAAUAGAAAGUUUAUUUCUGAGUAAUAGAAGUGUCACCAUCACUACUGGGAUUUAUAGUUGCAAAUUAUCAGAUAAGUGAUAGUGCACUGCUUCAUUAAUUCUCUAAGGUUAAUUUUAUGGCUUUUGAUAGGUGUUCUGUACUUGUGCUAUACCCUCAUAUUUCUAUACUAUAUGUGUUGAGCAUUUAUUUGCUCUUCUCGGUGGUCGUAUGUACUAUGUUUAGAGUUCUGAUUUUCAGUAACAAUAGUUUAACUUUCAAGUAUAAUCAUAUAUGAUAUUUUUUUUCUCUAUACAUGUACUAUUC